UUUGAUCUCACGGUCGAGAGAAGCAAGCAAAACCAGUUUCUUCUUCUUCAAACAACCCGAUUUUCAUGCCCAUGAUCUCUCCUUAUUAUUAUCUGGUUAUCCCGCAUUAAUUGGCCCAAACAAAUCUACCCCAGUCCCCAUCUCUCGGCUCAACGACGUGCUACUCCGCCUCGCCGUCCUGGCUCUCUCCUCAUCUAACCUCUCCGCGGCGCCUCCGCUCAACCAAACCGGUGUGUCGUGGACUAGGACGGGUGAAGGACCUGCCAGUGGAUGCCCUCGCGAGCUCCCAUUCGUGUUGAUCUCCACCACGGCCAGCCGACGAGGCCCUACUCCAUUGUAUGUCUGCGGCCCACCUCGUCAGAAUGAAGCCAUCACAACUGAAGUUCCGCAGGACUCGCCCACCCAAUACCAAUCUGACCUAGCGUUUGAUUCGUCUCGCUUGACACUGUUCAUAUUUUUGUGUUACUAGUUAAUUUUGGCAUAACUGUGUUCUCAGAUUUCUGUGAUCUCGUUGCGUGGAUACUAUAGUGUACUAUGGUUUUUUCUAUGUCUACGAGUGUGAAACUGUGAUGUAUGUAUAUUCUGUACGCGUCACUAGGAUGAUCAACUAAUUUAUAUGAAAUUCGUAUAUCGUACAAAAUGUAUGGUGCUAAUGCUAGUUUUUGUUCCAUUUUAUAUUUCCAUGGUUUCAAGUGAUACUACUUAUGUACCCAAUUUCUUUUUUCGUGUUACUACAAUGUAAUCGUUUGGCUAGAUGGUAUCUCACGCAUGAAUCAAGUGCAAAUCCAUCAACUGUACAUGUCGGCGACACAAAAGAUGCAUCCUUAUGUUGGCCGCAAGCUUAUUUUAUUUCAUUGUCAUUGUUUUAUACUAUGCUUCCAACCAAGGUGAGUAAUGUUGAGUUGUCAUAUUUUCAUCCUUCCUACCUUUUCCCUUAUUGUCUUAAACAAAUAAUCUUCUAAACUGUGUUUAGUAGCCAUCUUCAUGCCUCCGCUCAUUCCCUCAAUGUCAACAUGUUCGUAUUUGCUAACAUAGCACAUAUAUUAUGUUUUCAGUGGAGCUGCAGCAAUGAAGCAUAGAGAAGCAUACGGUAUGCUUCUUGCCAUCCACCACACCGCCCAUGUUCUCUCCGACAACACCGCCCUAAUUCCAUUCGUGGUCCAUCGUGCUUCGAACCCACCUGCACCGGUUCCACCCAAAUGUUCAAUUGCAGGGACCUGGCCAAGAGGGAUGCAUCAACGUUGGCAACAAUCUUUGUUUGUUUACAUCUCCAAUUAAUGUUCUAUGUUUCCACUUAAUUAGGGCCAUAACGAGACAAGAUAUUUUUAUUUCUUCAUGUAUAUGGUGUUCCCAUAUUACACUUCACGUGCUUUUUCGGUUUAUGUAGAUUGCUUCCAUACUUUAUGUGUUUUACUUUACAAAAUUUGUUCUUGCCAUUGGUAUCACCAUUGAAACAUGCAAUGCUCUCAUUGUAUGCUACAUAUGUUUCCUAGUUCUAGGUAGUUUGCUUCUAAAAUAGUUCAAAUUUGUUUGCAUAAUUGUAACGUAAACAUUAUCUACAUCCUUAAUAAUGUACAUCUAGUACCAAUUGUUGAUUCCAACAUAUAAUACCUAUGCAUCAUGCCUAACUAAUAUAUGCUUCAAUCAGUUGUCUGCUGGCUUAGGGUCCGACUGGCGUUGUCAAGGCAGGUACAUGGAGACACCUGGAUCUACCUCAGAAUGAACACAACCACACACUAGAUGAAGGGAAGCAAAUCUCUAGUUUUUAGGAAAUAUACAGUAUGGAAGUAUCGUACUAUUGGCGACUUGAAGGAAUAUGUUGUAUCAUUGGAUGAAGCAAGGAAACAAAUUUAUGUUAGCUUAGGAGCAAAUUAGUUCUGCGAUGGAAGCACUUUGUUUGGUGGGUGGAAACAAAAAAAAUUCUAGUAUUGGACACAAAUAAAAGAUAUAUUUGGCACAAACUUUUCCAUGUUGAAAUAGUUUAUUGGAUGCAAAAUUUUAUUAGAUUGAUGUGAAUUUUUUGGACACAAAUUUUACACGUCCUAGCAAAUUUCAAUUACAAUAGAAACAAAUUGUUUCGCCGAUGAAAGAAAUUUUUUAUUCUGAUGGAAAUAAAAAUAAAGAGACAUAAAUUUCAUCACAUCAAAGCGAUAAACGCUUUGUAGUAUAAUGAUAAACGCUUGUAUCCGCUUGAUCUACAUUUUGAGUAAAUCAGUUUUUAUCCAAAAAUGUGAUAAACAGAAAUUUUCUAAGAAUCCAACAAAUUUGUUGAAUAUAGUUUUUCCAAGAUAAACAAGUAUAUAUGGAAUAACUAGUGAGACAUCUUACUUUUUUUGAAUGAUGGAAGCAGAACUAGCCUGUUCAAAAUCGGUUCUAGUAAGAAGCACCGCUCCCAAAAUUAAUUGUUUGGCGCAAGUUAUGGAGCAGUUAUAGGGAUCACGUAAUAAUAGCUAUACGUCAGACUAUCACUCCUCUUAUACAGAUAUAUAACAUCCAUUAGCUACUAAUCCAUUGGCCAUGCAAAGGUCUGAUGGGACGCUAGGCAUGAGUAGUUUGAUAUCUAGGGGUAACAUGGGCCGGACAAAGAACUGAACUAAAUGUCUCUAUUGCUAGACGAUUCUCAUCAAAGCCGGCUAACUAUGCAAGCGCGUUAACUUGAAGAGCAUUCUAGGUCCGACUCAAACAAAAUUUGAACGUCUACAAAUUAAUUUAAAUAUUUUUAUACUAAACUUUUAUAUUUUAUAAAUUUAAUUUUUCUAUAUUAUAGUCUUAACAAGUAUACAUUUUUUGUUAGGUCAUAUAGUUAACAACAUAACGAUGAAGGUAUAUAUUACUUAUGCCAAAUAUGAGAAAUAAAAAGGGGGGAUAGUGUUCUUAUGUUCAAUGGAAAAUAAUUUUCAUGGGCAAAACACCAUUUGCCAUAUGGUCUCAUAUGAAUGGAUUAAAGAGAAAUUUUGCAACAAUUUUCCCACGAGAUCUCUUGCUUAUAAUUUUUUUUGUUAUCAUGCAUAUGAAAUGGACUAAGGACAAUUGCAUUAGUUAUGUUGCAUAUACAUAUUACUUGUGUGGAUGUGCACUUAUUUGGAUAUGUUGUAAUAUCACUAAUAUUAUAGUAGGGAUAUCUAAAGGUGUGUAGUUAAAAAAAUAUCAUAAUAGUGGUUUCUAGUAUACAUAUUUAUGGAAACUUCUAGAGUAUAUAGAUUGAACCAUUCACAAAUGUGUAUUGCAAGUUGGGUUCAACAACCUCUCGAUAACAUGUGGGUUCAAUAGUAAGUCAACGACAUAUGCAUGCUCUGAAAUUUGUGUUGAGAUAACAUUGUUUACAGG
rnacentral:lncRNA from 1 species